CUGAGCGUGGAUUGCCGGCGACAUUAUGAAAAAGACGGUGAUGCAGAGACUAGGUGUUUGUUGCAAAAACGGAUUGUGCCUCGUCGCAGGCUACGCUAGCCGUCCGUUUUCGUCUACGGUGUUACCUUCCUUCUUUGCGAGAUGUACACACUGCAUUCGUGCGUGAUGCCUGCACUACACGUACUGAAAGGAGGUUCCUCACGGGUGACAACCACAUUCACGACCGCCAUUUCAGUCAGAAUAAUCAGAUGAGAAUCAUUGCCUAGCUUGGUUCAGAGUUCGGAUACAUUUUUGUGCUAAUCUUUACUGCAAGCAUGAUGGAGAAGUGGAAUGAUUCUUGCACAAGAUUUGGCAAUGGGGCAGCAAGAAACCAAAGUGGGUGGAAAAUGAAUGAUUGAACUUGAACAGAGAUAUGGGGCUGAGUUUAAAGACAUUGAUAAUUCAGGUUGCAGAUGCUUUGCUGCAAUGGAGCUGAUGAUGGUGCAGCUUUCCAGCAAGACACAGAAACCAGUUCGACAAGAAGUCAAAGUUGAUAUAUCUGAUUAUCGCAUGGUUGUGAACUUGGACGUACUAUUGUCUUUGGACAUGAACAAUCAACUUCCUUGUCAACUCCCUCUGAGAAGUGGUCUGAAACAUGUAAGAUAACUCAACCAAGGACAAAGAAAGUCGAAGGCAGGUGGCAAAAGAAUGAAUGACGUAGGAAGAAAAUACGAAUAGGAUCUCUUGAAUAGGAAUGUGGAAGGAAAGUGAUGAUGCAGAGUCCACAGUAGACAAGGUAGCUCAAGUUGCUCCAUACUUGAUUGUAUGUGGCAAUCCAGCCAAACCAAGCCAUGUUAUUGGCAUCUGAGCCCAUCAUCAUGUUCAAAAUUCAGUGCAGCAACAGCAUAUGCUGUCCAGCGUUAUUGCUUGCUGUAAUGUAUGUUUUCAAUACAAAUUUCUCUCAAUCUUUAGCAACUUUUUACUGGUGCCUGGACGUCAUGUUACUGGGAUGUACUUCAGCUCCACUGAUAUCUAGUUUUUUUAGCUGGAUUUCAAUGAGGAAUUUUGUUUGAUAAAUUGUGUUUUGCUUUUUGCUUAGUGCGUUGACUCACUAUAUUUGGUUUAACUGUUUAAAUACAAGCAAUGGUAUUAAAAUCUAU